CAAUGCCACAAUGUCACAGAGGAAUAUAUUCCAGGAGAAUUCUCUGGUGUUCUAUGGACUGCUCCACAGAACUCAAAGGAAGACCACUAACCUGGGCAGGAUUAAAUAAUGAUGUGGCUUUCUAGAAAAGGCUGCAGGAGGAGAAGAAGCAAAGGGAGAACAAGAAGAAAAGAAAUUGCAGAGCCCUGUGCUCAAGGGACCAUAUUUCAAGAAAAUCUGUUCUUGCCCCUUCAUGAAGAAAAUUUUCAUCAUGAAUCACAAUCCCAGUUAUUUCUCAACCAAUGCUAUUAUGAUAUGACUUUCACUAAUGUGGAUAGAACAAUAAUGGACAAGGGAAUCUAACCUACUGACUUUCUGAAGCAGACCAAAAGCUAUGGAUGUUCUUGCAUAAGCUACAAUUGUUUAGGAAACUUGCUGGCUGCUCUUCCUUUUAAAUAAGCAGAUGUCAUGGCUGUUCUUGGGGUUUAAGUGCCUCACUUUGUCUGUAAAGCAGGAGGAAAUUAUCUUGACCAGAGAUGAUGAACAAGGACAGCACACAGUAAUGCACCCUGGACUAAAGAGCUUUAGCAUGAAACGUGAACUGCAGCUGUGGAGAAAGUAAGCAACAAUGACCAAAAAAACAAGAAAGAAGAAAAAGACAAAGUACAAGAGAUGACAAGACAGGAUAGAAGACAGGCAUACUGACCCUUCUCCUUGGCUUUCUCACACAGAAGAGACAAAAACAAAAGACAGAACUGCACACUAACAAUUAUGGAGACUGUGACCAUCAUGCACCAAUCUUAGUGUUUAAUGUAAGUAAGAGGAGGAAAUGGACAACAAAAGGGAACAGUAAGAAAUAUUAAAAGAGGAAAUAAGAAGAUGGCAGAAGACAGGGAAAAGGAGAAAUAUGCAUUUGUAUGUUUCGUAUGUCUUUCAUACUAAUGUCCCGCAUAUGUGCCAACAGAUUUGCUAAAGCCAUCACACCCAUAGGGGCAACGGCUGGAAAUACUGAUGCUGAUUACAGUACGGCUAACACAUUGUGUAACAAAAGGCAAUUAAUUUUUCAUUUGCUUGUGGGUUUUUUUAAAAUUCUAUAAACCUGAAACAGGGAGUUACUUCCCCAAUGUCCAACUGUGGUGUCAUAGACAGACCAACACAUGCUAAAACACUCUUCUGUGAUGAAAUACAAAGUACAGAUCUGCAUUUAUAGAACUACAGGUCUCGUUAAUAUUAAUUUUACAGUACUUUAUACUGAAGUUAAACACUACUCAUUACUGGCACUGAUCUUUUGAAAAUGGAUUGAUAAAAAGAUAUUUAGCUUGUUUACUUUGCUUUAUUUAAGAGCUUCAACAAAGGGACUUUAGCAUUUGUAAAUUUUGAUUUUUUGGUACCAAAUUCUAAUGCAAAAAUACAGUCUAGAAGAUUAAAAUAAUAAAAUGUUAGCAUGCAAAGGACACAUUAGACUUGAAUCCUAGUUUUUCAAACAAGAGAAAUUGUAUUUUAUUAGGCACAUGGGUGCCUAAUCACUGGGAGUGACUUUUACCUACCUAUCUCUAGGCAUGCAGAUAUAGCUUGCAUUGGCAGACAUUUUUACUUUGGAGGACACAAAAAGUUAGAAAGCACCUGAGGUGUUCCUCUGUUUCCACUUACUACCAUCUCUCUAGUACACACCAUGUUUCAAGAUUCCGGUAGGACAGUGAACCAGUGAUUAGCACCGAUUUGAACUUAUCAAAGUUGACUGACUGCACCUCCCCAGCACAUACUUUUAAAGGACAAAGUAUGACAUAGAGCACAUGUACUUUUUUAAAAUUUCAAGGCACCAGACACACAUGAAUUACUUUAUUCUCAGCAUGAUUAAUGAGAGGAGUAUCCCUUUGCAAAGCAAAGUACAUGGAAGAACAUGGCAGUGAUAUGUCCCACAACAAAUCUUUUUCUAAGCACGGGGACAGAUUCAAAGGGGUCUUCUUUUCAGUUCUUUUCAGUCCUGUUAUGCCCUGGUCUGCUCAAUGGAUUUAGGGAAAGGUUGGUUGAGUCAUUUAGAGCAGUGUUCAGGAGCAACACCAAAAAUCUUCAAUAACAAAUCUUUACAUGCAAAUUUCCAGAACAUUAAGGUAGAAUUAGGUACUUGGCAAAUUUUAAAGCAAAAUCCAGACAAACUAAGGCACUUCAGAAACUUUAGUUUAGCCACCUUUAACUUAACCAGAUACAGGACAUUAACUAAGGCCUUGACUGGAAUUUUUUUGUCUGGUUUACAAUAUAUUUCCAGAAGUUAGACAAAGAAAUACAGAAAGAAAGGAUAAGAAUAGAAAAAUAUCACCACCCAUGGACCUAUGAAAAGACUAGCAAUUUUGAUGUCCACAUUAAAGUGAUAGCCACAACCUUGAUCCAUAAGGAAAAUCUCAUGAAGGACAAAGUUAAAUGUAUUAUCAUAUGCUCAGGUUCAGGUGGGAAUGCCCAGGUAUCUCCAAGAGGGGAGCAGAAAUUAACACUCUCUGAACACUGUGGAUCACUUGCAGUUCUCUCCGGUGGAAGGCCUUAGAAACUGGUCUGGGGCCUGGGUGGUUUAUGUCACCUUCUAAGAUAUGACAGCUGCCUUUCAAGUCAGCGUAGUUGAGCUAGUUAUACCCCACCAGCAAGGAUGAACACCUUCAGGCUAAGUCUGAAUGUCUGACACCUUCCUCACAGAAGGGAGUUUUCUGAGCCAGCUGAGUAAGGGAAGACAUGAUAAAACACUUAUAGGCCUCUUCCCUUAUCUGGCUCAAACCCCAGUUUCUUGAUAAACAUGGGCUGAUUUGUGGUCAUCCUCUGGAGCUCACUCUCUCUCUACCUGAUCUUCCACAUCAUCAGCAAAGCACACCCUGCUUUUGCAAAUUUCUGUAUUUCAGUAAUAUUUCAGUCUCACAAAACCCAAACUUUAGCUGUAAGACUGUCUUCUCCCUUCUUAUGGAAUUUGAAUUAAACAUUCGCAAAACAAAUACCUGACAAGCAAAAAGCAUAACUUAUACAUACUAAACAGAUACAAAUACUCUUCGCAUACAAACCCAAGUCACAACUUGCCAAACCCUCCCUUCAGCAAUGCACCAUAGUAAAGGAGUCAAACUAACUACUCUCUCUAACUAGCAACAUAAAACUCAUGUCUGGUUGGGCCGACCCCACAUAUUUUAAUUUAUUUUGAAUAACUUACCUGUAAACUUCUCCAGCGUUUCUGAGGAAGGGAAACAUGCAACUUAUAAUUCUAAGAGGAUCCUUUCCCCUGCUAAGCGCAUAAAAGCAAUGAAAUAGAGAACAGUAAAGACAGCUUAAAAACGCAGCUUCUGACAGAUACUGAAGAGAGAUACCUACACUGCUUCAUAAUGCUAAGUAAUAAAAAGACCUCACGAAACCAAAAUACCAUUUUCUAAAAAGACUGAAAGAUUUUUGUUUUC